rnacentral:rRNA from 1 species
UGGGGAAUAUUGCGCAAUGGGCGAAAGCCUGACGCAGCAACGCCGCGUGAGGGAUGACGGCCUUCGGGUUGUAAACCUCUUUCAGCAGGGACGAAGCGAAAGUGACUGUACCUGCAGAAGAAGCGCCGGCUAACUACGUGCCAGCAGCCGCGGUAAUACGUAGGGCGCAAGCGUUGUCCGGAUUUAUUGGGCGUAAAGUGCUCGUAGGCGGUCUGUCGCGGCGGAUGUGAAAACCCGGAGCUCAACUCCGGGCCUGCAUUCGAUACGGGCAGACUUGAGUACUGCAGGGGAGACUGGAAUUCCUGGUGUAGCGGUGGAAUGCGCAGAUAUCAGGAGGAACACCGGUGGCGAAGGCGGGUCUCUGGGCAGAAACUGACGCUGAGGAGCGAAAGCGUGGGGAGCGAACA